ensembl:lncRNA LINC01501 long intergenic non-protein coding RNA 1501
AACAGAAACAAGGGCCCACCACCAACAGGGUAGAUCGUCCGUUGGGCUGGGGGAAGGGGAGGCAUCCCGUGUGUUAGAAAAGUGUGUCCCUGAUUUCGCUGUGCAAAUUGAAAGUGGCAUUACUUUUGCAGGGCCUUAGGGGAGUGAAAAGAGCUCCUGGCAGCCCUUAGCUCAGGGCACUCCAGGCCCCACCCGGCCCUACAGCACAGCUGAGGGAUCAAAGUAGCGCCAUGUCUAGCCCUAAGUCCACACACGAUCCUCUCAGGGCAGCGUGGCGGCCCAUCCCUGGUGGGGCUCAUUACCCCAAUUUUAAGUUUCCUUCUGCAGCAGGGAAGCCUGGUCCUGCCUGCAAAGAGUUUGUCUCCCUUGCUAGAUGGAGCUCCUUGAAGAAGGGGCUGUUUUCUUCAUCUACUCUGACUUCGGACUUGUCACUUUCCCCUCUUGACCUCCAUAUUCAGAUCCGUGAAUAGGAGUAAGUGGGUAAAGGCCCCUCUAGCUUUAAAACCCCUCCAAUACAGAGAGAACUCUGAAACCAGAACCAGAAGCUGAGGCGCGGUGAAUGGAGCAUUUUCCCUGGCAUGAUGGAUGGGACCUACGGAUCUGGCUGUGAAGGCGGUAUCUUGUCACUGGAAUGCCUCUGCAGACUCGGACCCUUGCAACACACAGUUUGCAAACCCAUUGCAAACCCAUAGUUUGCAAAUCAGACUCAAGAAUGAUCUUCAGUAUUGGUGGUUUUGUGUGGGUUUUGUUUGUUAUUUUUAUUUGUUUUUGAGACUUCGUUAUUGGCACAACAGCUUCUGGAAAUCUGUUUCACAGAGAGUAUGGGGGCUUCUUUGGCCAAAUGGAGUGGGUACUUAUGAGUUCGGUCAGUGCCUGAGGGAGCACUCACUUCCUUGCCUGGUCAUAUUUUCAUUGGUGCAGGCUCCGUCUGCUUGGCAGCCACUGUUUGGGCCACAGCCUGUCCGCAGGGUCCUGCUCCUCUCUAAUUUGUUCAGACAUUGUGGUGUGUCUGGCCAUAUCAUUUGUCAUAGGUGUAAAAACAAUCACAACCAAAGCUUAAAGCUGUUGGGAUGAGCAGCUGCCUGGGAAUCACGCUCCUUCCUGCUCUUUCCAAAAAGCCAGGUGCCGCCGGCCAGCAUCCCGCUCCCUUUGACCCGCAGUCUGUGCGGGAAGUAGGCCCGGAGUGGUGCCAGCAGGAGGUGGCCUUAGAAAGGCGGAGACCCAAGGAGCAGAGUGAGUCGGCGUCCAGCUCCACCUGAAAGCGCCAUCUUGUCGCCACUUCCCUCAGGAGCAGCAUGCCCAGCCUCUUGCAUAGGAAGAAGUGGUAAGCUAAGGAGAGAAAUGCAGGGUUCCUAGUACACCAAUUUUCCAACUUUUUCAUCUUGGCCCUGCUUUAAAAUGAUGCAUCUACUGUCUUCAUGCCUCAGCACAGCAGAGAAAACCAUGCUGUGUUCCAGUUUACUUUGAAUGUUUCAGUGAAAAUGAUGAAGCUGAAAAAAUGACGGAGGCCCGUUUUACAUUGCAUUUCUCAGAGUCAUCGCCUCUGCUGCAGAUGGAACAACAGCCAUGGAGAAUGAGGGUCACCUGAAUGUGGAAAAGUUGAGUUGGAGCAAAACUGGCACGGCCAUACUGGAUGGACCUCAGCAUGACCAGGACACAUUUCAGCUCAAAUCCCCUGUGCCAAGAACACAUUCUGCCAAGGACCACCACCUCUUCCCACAACUGUGAGUGGAUUUAUGUCAUCACAGGAGGUGCAAAAACGUGUGGUGAGGUAAAUGAAUUGGGAUGUCCUUGGCUGCCUGAGCAAGAGGGCAACUUUCCUGCCUUUAGAAUAGAGAAAACACAGCAGGAUAAUUAAGAGGAUGAGACUUUGGUUCCAACAGACAGUGGCUUCUCCUUCCCUAAAUUGCCCUUAUUUUGUAGUAAGUUAUAAUAUGUUUAUUUUCUACCACCUUAUUACUUCACUACGUGAACCAAAAAUAAAAUCCUAAAGCCAACCA